rnacentral:rRNA from 1 species
UACGGGGGGGGCAAGCGUUGUUCGGAAUUACUGGGCGUAAAGGGCUCGUAGGCGGCCAACUAAGUCAGACGUGAAAUCCCUCGGCUUAACCGGGGAACUGCGUCUGAUACUGGAUGGCUUGAGUUUGGGAGAGGGAUGCGGAAUUCCAGGUGUAGCGGUGAAAUGCGCAGAUAUCUGGGGGAAGGCCGGCGGCGAAGGCGCCCUUCUGGGUGGUUCCUGACACUGAGGCGCGAAAGCGUGGGGAGCAAACAGG